AUGUGUGUGCCACUGUGUGUGUGUCACUGUGUGUGUGUGUGUGUCUGUGUGUGUGCCACUGUGUGUGUCACUGUGUGUGUGUGUCACUGUGUGUGUGUGCCACUGUGUGUGUCUGCCACUGUCUGUGUGUGCCACUGUGUGUGUGUGCCACUGUGUGUGCCACUGUCUGUGUGUGCCACUGUGUGUGUGCCACUGUCUGUAUGUGCCACUGUCUGUGUGUGCCACUGUGUGUGUGUGCCACUGUCUGUGUGUGCCACUGUGUGUGUGUGCCACUGUGUGUGCCACUGUCUGUGUGUGCCACUGUGUGUGUCACUGUGUGUGUGCCACUGUGUGUGCCACUGUCUGUGUGUGCCACUGUGUGUGUGUGCCACUGUCUGUGUGUGCCACUGUGUGUGUGUGCCACUGUGUGUGCCACUGUGUGUGUGUGCCACUGUGUGUGCCACUGUCUGUGUGUGCCACUGUCUGUGUGUGCCACUGUCUGUGCCACUGUGUGUGUGUGCCACUGUGUGUGUGUGCCACUGUGUGUGUCACUGUGUGUGUGCCACUGUAUGUGUGUGCCACUGUGUGUGUCGCUGUGUGCCACUGUCUGUGUGUGCCACUGUCUGUGUGUGCAGCUGUGUUUGUCACUGUGUGUGUGCCACUGUCUGUGUGUGCCAAUGUGUGUGUCACUGUGUGUGUGCCACUGUGUGUGUCACUGUGUGUGUGCCACUGUGUGUGUGCCACUGUCUGUGUGUGCCACUGUCUUUAUGUGCCACUGUCUGUGUGUGCCACUGUCUGUGUGUGCAGCUGUGUUUGUCACUGUGUGUGUGCCACUGUCUGUGUGUCAAUGUGUGUGUCACUGUGUGUGUGCCACUGUGUGUGUCACUGUGUGUGUGUCACUGUGUGUGUGCCACUGUCUGUGUGUGCAACUGUGUGUGCCACUGUGUGUGUGUGUGUGCCACUGUGUGUGCCACUGUCUGUGUGUGCCACUGUGUGUGUGUGCCACUGUGUGUGCCACUGUGUGUGUGUGUGUGUGUGUGCCACUGUGUGUGCCACUGUGUGUGUGUGCCACUGUGUGUGUGUGCCACUGUGUGUGCCACUGUGUGUGUGUGCCACUGUCUGUAUGUGCCACUGUCUGUGUGUGCCAUUGUCUGUGUGUGCCACUGUCUGUGCCACUGUGUGUGUGUGCCACUGUGUGUGUGUGCCACUGUGUGUGUCACUGUGUGUGUGCCACUGUCUGUGUGUGCCACUUGUGUGUCGUGUGUGUGUGCCACUGUGUGUGCCACUGUCUGUGUGUGCCACUGUCUGUGUGUGCAACUGUGUUUGUCACUGUGUGUGUGCCACUGUCUGUGUGUGCCACUGUGUGUGUCAAUGUGUGUGUCACUGUGUGUGUGCCACUGUGUGUGUCACUGUGUGUGUGCCACUGUGUGUGCCACUGUCUGUGUGUGCCACUGUCUUUAUGUGCCACUGUCUGUGUGUGCCACUGUGUGUGCCACUGUGUGUGUGUGCCACUGUGUGUGUGUGCCACUGUCUGUGUCUGUCACUGUCUGUGUGUGCCACUGUCUGUGUGUGCCACUGUGUGUGUGUGCCACUGUGUGUGCCACUGUGUGUGUGUGCCACUGUGUGUGUGUGCCACUGUGUGUGUGUGCCACUGUCUGUGUGUGGCACUGUGUGUGUGUGCCACUGUGUGUGUCACUGUGUGUGUGCCACUGUCUGUGUGUGCCACUGUGUGUGUGCUGUGUGUGUGCCACUGUGUGUGUCGCUGUGUGUGUGUCACUGUGUGUGUGCCACUGUGUGUGCCACUGUGUGUGUGUGCCACUGUGUGUGUGUGCCACUGUGUGUGCCACUGUGUGUGUGUGCCACUGUCUGUGUGUGCCACUGUGUGUGUGUGCCACUGUGUGUGUCACUGUGUGUGUGUGCCACUGUGUGUGUGUGUCACUGUGUGUGUGUGCCACUGUCUGUAUGUGCCACUGUCUGUGUGUGCCACUGUGUGUGUGUGCCACUGUGUGUGCCACUGUGUGUGUGUGCCACUGUGUGUGCCACUGUCUGUGUCUGUCACUGUCUGUGUGUGCCACUGUCUGUGUGUGCCACUGUGUGUGUGUGCCACUGUGUGUGCCACUGUGUGUGUGUCACUGUGUGUGUGCCACUGUGUGUGUGCCACAAUGUGUGUCACUGUGUGUGUGUGCCACUGUGUGUGCCACUGUCUGUGUGUGUCACUGUGUGUGUGCCACUGUCUGUGUGUGUCACUGUGUGUGUGUCACUGUGUGGGUGCCACUGUGUGUGUGCCACUGUGUGUGUCACUGUGUGUGUGUGUGUCACUGUGUGAGUCACUGUGUGUGUGUGUGUGUCACUGCGUGUGUGCCACUGUGUGUGUGUCACUGUGUGUGUGUCAUUGUGUGUGUGUGUGUGUGUUUCACUGUGUGUGUGUCAUUGUGUGUGUCACUGUGUGUGCCACUGCGUGUGUGUCAUUGCGUGUGUGUUUCACUGUGUGUGUGUGCCACUGUGUGUGUCACUGUAUGUUACUGUGUGUGUGCCAUUGUGUGUGUGCCACUGUCUGUGUGUGUCACUGUGUCACACACGGUGACACACACAGUGGCACACACACUGUGUCCCAUGCAGCUUUGCUUCCUAAAAUGA
ensembl:lncRNA